rnacentral:lncRNA from 1 species
ACGUUACCAAACGGUCUCCUACAAAGGCAGAAACCGUUUAAAUAUUUCAGAAGGAUUGAUUUUCAUUUUGCAAAUAUAAUACUGGUUCAUUUUCUUUCUCUUCCUCCAUCCAUUCUACUAUUGAACAUAAAACGUGUCAAUAGUAUUGUAGUUCAGCAUGUAUCUCAGGAUAUUAAAAGGGCAGUGUGACUCAGCUAGAAAAGGAUGAACUUUCCCCAAAGAUAAAGUGACCUAUGCGGUAAGUCCUACGGGACUUCAUAUCCUCAUUGGAGAGAGGUUUAGGGUGUUUCUAGUUGUAGCAGGGUUAGUUGCACCUUAGGUUGAAGCAAGAUUUUGCUACUGGAAAUUAAAUAUGGUAAAAGGAGGUGCUCUCGGCCGCCAAUUUGACAAGGGAUGGACCGUGCUGGUUUUGUAUCAACUGGCCUAAGCUAGAACUUCAUUUCCAUUAUGUCUCCAUAUCAGGUUUGGCCAAAAGAUAUAUCUAUGCCAGAUUUGGGAAGCAGAAGUGAAAGAGUAACCGUUACUCUGUGUAGCUGGUGCGGAAGGAGAGAAGUGUAGAUGUACUGCUUGUGGGCUCUAGCUUGUCCUCGCCUGCCUCUGUCUUGACUCCAGCUGGUGUCCUUUUCUGCCUGCCUUGCUGACCAACAGCAGCCCCAAACCCACAGUCAAUGCAGAGGCAACAGCCUUCCAUGCACUUCUUCGCCAGCUCCUGUUGUGGUCUCACUCUUGCAACUGGAUGUUCCCAGUUCUCUAUAUGUAACCUGUGACUUUUCCUUCACUUGACUACUUCAGGAGAGACUCUGUUGGGUACAAGUGACACAGAAAGUCAUCUCAAACUAGCUGAAACACAAAAGCGCAGGAAGGCGGAAGGGAAGGCGGAGACCGGCAAGAGAGGGGAGAAGGCCCGGGGAAGACGCUCGGGACCAAGAUGCGGGGCCCGGGUGCGAGCAGCUGAACCUCUCGGCCCCCAGGCGUGGUGACCUGGGUGGCGACGCUCGUGGAGGCCGAGGAGCUUCUGGACCGGCGCUUCGGGGGACCAAGUGGAGAGGCUGCUGGAGUUGUCGCCUGAGUCCUCCCUUAGUUCUUCGCGCCGGCCUCGCCCACGGCUCCGGGUCCCAGCCGCCACUGCAGUCUCCGCAGCACCGAGCGGGGCUCCACCGACUCGCGACCUCCAGCCUCCGCCUCAAGGGCAGGGAGCGCGGCUGGGUCUCUGGAAAGCCAUUUUUAAAUCACUGCCUCUGCUGCCCCCAUGUGAGGUCGGAGUGUCCUCCCCCGUCUUUGCUUUCAGGUUCUUUCAGGUUCCUUUGGGCAAACCCGCAGCUAAGAGUCCAGCUUGUGAACUUGAACCUGAACUUGCUGAAGAAGCUCCCGGCGGCCCCCUGCUGUCUGCGGCCUUUGUUUGAGGGAGAGGCUGGGGUCACCCGGUUGGGCCGCAUUUCCGGGGCCGUCACCUGUCGGGCUGCCAGGCCGCGCGUACCUUGUCCCAUCGGGGGCUCUGCUCUGCCCCCUGCGCUGAUGACGCGGGUGGAAGGGAGGUAUCAGGGGCACUCUGGGGAGCUGUACCUGGCGGGCACCCCCCAGCUGCUCUCCGUGGGGUACGACACCGAGACCUGGUUGGGCUGCAAGGAGACCGACUGGGAUUCCCGGGCUGGUGGCCGGGGAGACGAAGGCGGGGGGUGAGAGGCAGGAACCCAGGAGGCCCCAGGCCCAGCGCUGUGGGGCUGCUGUUGUCGUUCUGCGUGGAGGUCUGGCCAAACUGGCUUUUGCCCCGAGUGAGGAAUUCCUGCUCUUUUUUGGUUUUGGUAAGAGGUCGCUAUUCACAGAGGGGGCGGGGUUCGUCCCCUCCAGGCGAGUACGGGGCUGGCGGGCGCAGUGCUGCCUUUCUGCUCUGUCUCUUGAUCCCGCUUAGGAUCUUUGUGGCUCCUCUGAGUCUUCUUAGAGAGGCCGUGAAAGAUGGGAAAGGCAGGUUGCUGAAACGCUGCUGCUCGGGGCUGGCAGAGACCCUGGUAUAGGGAAGGCGCACCACUGUGGGUCAGAUCAGCUGACAGUGGGGGUUUUAGGUGAUGGGGUAACCUUACAGUUCGGAUCUCUUAGAACCCAGAAGCAGGUAGGCGAUCGCUGCUUCAUCACACUUCACAGGGAGUCCUGGAUCUUUCCUGUCCGUAACCCAUGGACGCCAUGAUUCAGUAUGGCGGAGGUCCGGGGCUUAAGUUCCUGUUCAUGCUUCCUAAUCAUUCAUGGAUCCAUCACAAUGUGCUCUGAAGGGCCUCUCUUGCUGGGAUUGAGAAGGAUACAUUUUUUGAGCAGGUUUUUAUACUCAAUGGACAUGUAGAAGGGAAUAUAUUCUACUCAGUUCCCCUCCUGCAGCUCCUUGAAAUUCUGUCCAUCAAAAGCAGGGAUCUGCUGACCAGAGGUGACUGCCACAGAAGGUAUCCAGUUUGUAAAAGCUGAAUUUGUUGCUGAAGCCAGAAUUUGCAAUCUUGAUGUUUGUGUUAACAUCCAAGAGCGUGUUUUCUGCCUUUAAAUCUCUGUGGACAAUACGUUUCUGGUGACAGCUUGCACAGCAGACACUUUUGGUAGAAUUUGCUUCAGUCCUUUUUUUUUCUUUCCUGCUGCCAUGAGCAGGUAUUCACAAACUUCUCCUCCUGGCUAGUGUGCUUCAUGACAAAGCAAAGAGAUUCCUCAAUAUCGAUCACAGCAAAUGUUUCACUAUGUUGGGGUGAUCCGAGCCUUCAUGGUUCCUACUUUGUGGAUGGUGUCUGGAGGAGAUCUGCUGAGUCUCAUCAAUGAACUUCACAGCUGCUGCUUUCCCAGUUAAGAGGUCCCAGGCCAACCUUACCUUAGCCAGGUUGCCCUUGACGAUGGUCUCAAGGAUCCUAGCUGCCAGUAAGGGUCCCUUCUCAGCAGAGAUGGCUGAGAGGCCCUGUGGCAUGUGAGACUUACUGCUGGGCUUGGAGUCAAGGUGUCCCAGGUCAGCUUAAUUUCGGGAAAAACUGGUAAGACGCUUGGUUCAAAUCACUUGAAAAGAAAAUCACUUGCAUAGUUCACCUGAAGAAUGGAUCUCUAUAAUGGAAUUAAAGCACAAUGCUGGACAAAAAGUAAGAAAAAGCAACAAACUGAAAGGAAAAAUUGAGUAAAAAGAAUAAAGAACUAGAACUGGCAACCUCAGCCAAGCCAGGGAAUUACAUACAUCUUGGAAUUCCAAAGCAAUGCUUCCUUAUGAGGGCAUAGGAAGAAAUAAAUCUAAUAACAAGGCUGGGAUUAAUUCACGUGGUUUUCUCACAUUUUGGUCUCAAGAACUUUUUACUCUAAAACUAAUUAUUGAGGACCCCAAAGAGCUUUUUAUGUGGGUUAUAGUUAUCAGUAUUUACUUUAUUGGAAAUUAAAACCUGUAGGAUGUUUCAGUGGUCUUUUCUAGUUUGAAGGGUUUAAUAAUUUUUGGCUUUUAAAGAGCCCAUAAUCAAUUAAAAUAUUUUAUUUUCCUUUAAAUUGUAAAUGAUUGGUGUCAUAAUGAUGCUACAACUUAACUGGCAUUACAAUACUAUACAAAUACGUUCUAUUGUAUAAGUCACAAUAAGGUACAUUAUUAACUCUAUAACAUUUAGGGGAAGAUAGCUGUUAUCAUAUUAUUUAAAGUUUUGCCUAGUUUCUUUGUAGUAGACUUAUCUUUUCCAGGAGCCAGAGAACCCGCUAUAUCAGUUUCAGUAUCUUUAAAUGUAGAGAUUGCAGCUGUGUGUUGAGAAAGCACGUUUCACUUAGCAUGGGAUGGGGACUUCGAGGUACUGGAUAUGUCACUGGCACCUCAGGGGAGGAAACCAAGAUGCCCCUAUAUGAUUUUAAACAUGGUUUAUUAAAGCGUGAUACAGAAAAGUGCACAAAUUGUCCACCUACAGCUUGGUGACUGUUCACAAAUUGAACUCAUCUAACUAGCCUCCAGAAUAAGAAACAGGCCUUUACACACCCCCACCAGCCUCCCAAUCCCCUUUUCAGUCACCUUCUCUGCAGUGAUAACCACUAUUCUAUAUUCUGACAGCAUAGUUUCACUUGUUUUUUAACUUCACAUAAAUGGGAUCAGACAGUAUUGAAUCCUUUGUGUCUGCUUCCUUCACUCAAUAUUUUCCUGAGAUUUUUCUAUAUUGUUUAUUCUAAAUGCCCAUUGUACGACUGUAACACAAUUUGUUUAUCCAUUUUACUGUUCUUGGGCAUUUGGGUAGUUCUCACUGUGGAUGCUAAGAAGAGUGUUGCUAUAAACAUUCAGGUCUUUUGGUAAGCAUAUACCUGGCUUUCUGUUGGCUAUUUAUACCUAGAAAUAGAGUUGCUGGCUUAUAAGGUAUGCAUAUUUUUAGUUUUAGUAGACAUUGCAGUUUGUACCAAUUCACCCACCCACCAAUGUGAAUAUCUAAUAUUGCCUGCCUGUCUGUACGUGUGUACUGGUAUAGCAUUGUGGUUUUAAUUUGCAUUUUCCAGUGCCUAAUGAAAUAAAGCACCUUUUAAUAUGCUUAUUGGACAUAUUUUUUUUCUGUGUUGUGCCUAUUCAGUAUUUUGCCCAUUUUUCUGUUGGGUUGCUGGUAUUGUUCUUAUUGGUUUAUGGGUAUUCUUUAAAUAUUUUAAGUAUUCUUUAUUUGAUAUGUCCCUGUAUUUCCUCUCUCCUCCCUCAUCCCUGUUAACUCUCUGAUGUCACUUCCUGCUAUUUUACCCAUGGAUCGUCCCUUUCUAGCUACUAGAGUUCUUAUUCCUUGAACAUGCCAGCCAUAUUCCUACUCCAGGGCUCUGC